rnacentral:rRNA from 1 species
GACGAACCGUGCGAACGUUAUUCGGAAUCACUGGGCUUAAAGCGCGUGUAGGCGGGAGGGCACGUCCGUCGCUGAAAUCCCCCGGCUCAACCGGGGAACGGGCGCGGAUACGACCUUCCUGGAGGGGCGUAGGGGGACCUGGAACUUCCGGUGGAGCGGUGAAAUGCGUUGAGAUCGGAAGGAACGCCCGUGGCGAAAGCGAGGUCCUGGACGCCUACUGACGCUGAGACGCGAAAGCCAGGGGAGCGAACGGG